UACGGAGGAUCCAAGCGUUAUCCGGAUUCACUGGGUUUAAAGGGUGCGUAGGUGGAAUGACAAGUCAGUGGUGAAAACCUGUAGCUUAACUGUAGAACUGCCAUUGAUACUGUUGUUCUUGAGUACAUUUGAUGUGAGCGGAAUGUGUCGUGUAGCGGUGAAAUGCUUAGAUAUGACACAGAACACCAAUUGCGAAGGCAGCUCACAAAACUGUAACUGACACUGAGGCACGAAAGCGUGGGGAUCAAACAGG
rnacentral:rRNA from 1 species